UACGUAGGGGGCAAGCGUUUAUCCGGAAUCAUUGGGCGUAAAGCGCGUGUAGGCGGUUCCGUAAGUCCGCUCUGAAAGCCCAGGGCUCAACCCUGGGAGGCGGGUGGAUACUACGGAACUGGAGUACGGAAGAGGAGAUUGGAAUUCUGGUGUAGCGGUGAAAUGCGCAGAUAUCAGGAGGAACACCAACAGCGAAGGCAGAUCUCUGGGACGUUACUGACGCUGAGACGCGAAAGCGUGGGGAGCAAACAGG
rnacentral:rRNA from 1 species